rnacentral:rRNA from 1 species
UACAGAGGUCCCAAGCGUUGUUCGGAUUUAUUGGGCGUAAAGGGAGCGUAGGCGGCGGGGUAAGUCAGGUGUUAAAAUUCGGCGCUCAACGCCGAAGCGCAUUUGAUACUGCUCUGCUAGAGGAGUGGAGAGGAGACAGGAAUUCACGGUGUAGCAGUGAAAUGCGUAGAUAUCGAGAAGAACGCUCGCAGCAAAGGCGAAGCUCUGGGCAACAUCUGACACUGAUGCACGAAGGCUAGGGGAGCAAACGGG